rnacentral:rRNA from 5 species
AAAACUUUCAACAACGGAUCUCUUGGUUCUGGCAUCGAUGAAGAACGCAGCGAAAUGCGAUAAGUAAUGUGAAUUGCAGAAUUCAGUGAAUCAUCGAAUCUUUGAACGCACAUUGCGCCCCUUGGUAUUCCGAGGGGCAUGCCUGUUCGAGCGUCAU